rnacentral:tRNA from 1 species
GGCGCGUUCGUCUAGAGGCCUAGGACGGUUGGUUCUCAACCAACAAAUCACCGGUUCGAAUCCGGUACGCGCUACAA